UUAAGCGACUAAGCGUACACGGUGGAUGCCCUGGCAGUCAGAGGCGAUGAAGGACGUGCUAAUCUGCGAUAAGCGUCGGUAAGGUGAUAUGAACCGUUAUAACCGGCGAUUUCCGAAUGGGGAAACCCAGUGUGAUUCGUCACACUAUCAUUAACUGAAUCCAUAGGUUAAUGAGGCGAACCGGGGGAACUGAAACAUCUAAGUACCCCGAGGAAAAGAAAUCAACCGAGAUUCCCCCAGUAGCGGCGAGCGGACGGGGAGCAGCCCAGAGCCUGAAUCAGUGUGUGUGUUAGUGGAAGCGUCUGGAAAGGCGUGCGAUACAGGGUGACAGCCCCGUACACAAAAAUGCACAUAUUGUGAGCUUGAUGAGUAGGGCGGGACACGUGGUAUCCUGUCUGAAUAUGGGGGGACCAUCCUCCAAGGCUAAAUACUCCUGACUGACCGAUAGUGAACCAGUACCGUGAGGGAAAGGCGAAAAGAACCCCGGCGAGGGGAGUGAAAAAGAACCUGAAACCGUGUACGUACAAGCAGUGGGAGCACGCUUAGGCGUGUGACUGCGUACCUUUUGUAUAAUGGGUCAGCGACUUAUAUUCUGUAGCAAGGUUAACCGAAUAGGGGAGCCGAAGGGAAACCGAGUCUUAACUGGGCGUUAAGUUGCAGGGUAUAGACCCGAAACCCGGUGAUCUAGCCAUGGGCAGGUUGAAGGUUGGGUAACACUAACUGGAGGACCGAACCGACUAAUGUUGAAAAAUUAGCGGAUGACUUGUGGCUGGGGGUGAAAGGCCAAUCAAACCGGGAGAUAGCUGGUUCUCCCCGAAAGCUAUUUAGGUAGCGCCUCGUGAAUUCAUCUCCGGGGGUAGAGCACUGUUUCGGCAAGGGGGUCAUCCCGACUUACCAACCCGAUGCAAACUGCGAAUACCGAAGAAUGUUAUCACGGGAGACACACGGCGGGUGCUAACGUCCGUCGUGAAGAGGGAAACAACCCAGACCGCCAGCUAAGGUCCCAAAGUCAUGGUUAAGUGGGAAACGAUGUGGGAAGGCCCAGACAGCCAGGAUGUUGGCUUAGAAGCAGCCAUCAUUUAAAGAAAGCGUAAUAGCUCACUGGUCGAGUCGGCCUGCGCGGAAGAUGUAACGGGGCUAAACCAUGCACCGAAGCUGCGGCAGCGACGCUUAUGCGUUGUUGGGUAGGGGAGCGUUCUGUAAGCCUGCGAAGGUGUGCUGUGAGGCAUGCUGGAGGUAUCAGAAGUGCGAAUGCUGACAUAAGUAACGAUAAAGCGGGUGAAAAGCCCGCUCGCCGGAAGACCAAGGGUUCCUGUCCAACGUUAAUCGGGGCAGGGUGAGUCGACCCCUAAGGCGAGGCCGAAAGGCGUAGUCGAUGGGAAACAGGUUAAUAUUCCUGUACUUGGUGUUACUGCGAAGGGGGGACGGAGAAGGCUAUGUUGGCCGGGCGACGGUUGUCCCGGUUUAAGCGUGUAGGCUGGUUUUCCAGGCAAAUCCGGAAAAUCAAGGCUGAGGCGUGAUGACGAGGCACUACGGUGCUGAAGCAACAAAUGCCCUGCUUCCAGGAAAAGCCUCUAAGCAUCAGGUAACAUCAAAUCGUACCCCAAACCGACACAGGUGGUCAGGUAGAGAAUACCAAGGCGCUUGAGAGAACUCGGGUGAAGGAACUAGGCAAAAUGGUGCCGUAACUUCGGGAGAAGGCACGCUGAUAUGUAGGUGAAGUCCCUCGCGGAUGGAGCUGAAAUCAGUCGAAGAUACCAGCUGGCUGCAACUGUUUAUUAAAAACACAGCACUGUGCAAACACGAAAGUGGACGUAUACGGUGUGACGCCUGCCCGGUGCCGGAAGGUUAAUUGAUGGGGUCAGCGCAAGCGAAGCUCUUGAUCGAAGCCCCGGUAAACGGCGGCCGUAACUAUAACGGUCCUAAGGUAGCGAAAUUCCUUGUCGGGUAAGUUCCGACCUGCACGAAUGGCGUAAUGAUGGCCAGGCUGUCUCCACCCGAGACUCAGUGAAAUUGAACUCGCUGUGAAGAUGCAGUGUACCCGCGGCAAGACGGAAAGACCCCGUGAACCUUUACUAUAGCUUGACACUGAACAUUGAGCCUUGAUGUGUAGGAUAGGUGGGAGGCUUUGAAGUGUGGACGCCAGUCUGCAUGGAGUCGACCUUGAAAUACCACCCUUUAAUGUUUGAUGUUCUAACGUGGACCCGUGAUCCGGGUUGCGGACAGUGUCUGGUGGGUAGUUUGACUGGGGCGGUCUCCUCCUAAAGAGUAACGGAGGAGCACGAAGGUUGGCUAAUCCUGGUCGGACAUCAGGAGGUUAGUGCAAUGGCAUAAGCCAGCUUGACUGCGAGCGUGACGGCGCGAGCAGGUGCGAAAGCAGGUCAUAGUGAUCCGGUGGUUCUGAAUGGAAGGGCCAUCGCUCAACGGAUAAAAGGUACUCCGGGGAUAACAGGCUGAUACCGCCCAAGAGUUCAUAUCGACGGCGGUGUUUGGCACCUCGAUGUCGGCUCAUCACAUCCUGGGGCUGAAGUAGGUCCCAAGGGUAUGGCUGUUCGCCAUUUAAAGUGGUACGCGAGCUGGGUUUAGAACGUCGUGAGACAGUUCGGUCCCUAUCUGCCGUGGGCGCUGGAGAACUGAGGGGGGCUGCUCCUAGUACGAGAGGACCGGAGUGGACGCAUCACUGGUGUUCGGGUUGUCAUGCCAAUGGCACUGCCCGGUAGCUAAAUGCGGAAGAGAUAAGUGCUGAAAGCAUCUAAGCACGAAACUUGCCCCGAGAUGAGUUCUCCCUGACCCUUUAAGGGUCCUGAAGGAACGUUGAAGACGACGACGUUGAUAGGCCGGGUGUGUAAGCGCAGCGAUGCGUUGAGCUAACCGGUACUAAUGAACCGUGAGGCUUAACCUU
rnacentral:rRNA from 1 species